ACGCUCGACACCUACUGGAGGCAGCAGUGGGGAAUAUUGCACAAUGGGGGAAACCCUGAUGCAGCGACGCCGCGUGAGCGAAGAAGUAUCUCGGUAUGUAAAGCUCUAUCAGCAGGGAAGAAGAUGACGGUACCUGACUAAGAAGCACCGGCUAAAUACGUGCCAGCAGCCGCGGUAAUCUGAGCGGGCUGGCAAGGC
rnacentral:rRNA from 1 species